CUGACGGGUGAGUAACACGUGGAUAACCUACCUAUAAGACUGGGAUAACUUCGGGAAACCGGAGCUAAUACCGGAUAAUAUAUUUAACCGCAUGGUUCAAUAGUGAAAGACGGUUUUGCUGUCACUUAUAGAUGGAUCCGCGCCGCAUUAGCUAGUUGGUAAGGUAACGGCUUACCAAGGCAACGAUGCGUAGCCGACCUGAGAGGGUGAUCGGCCACACUGGAACUGAGACACGGUCCAG
rnacentral:rRNA from 1 species